rnacentral:rRNA from 1 species
GACGAGUCACUACGGUGAUGAAGUAGCUCAUGCCCCGCUUCCAGGAAAAGCCUCUAAGCUCUAGAUUAUCAUUAAUCGUACCCCAAACCGACACAGGUGGUCAGGUAGAGAAUACUCAGGCGCUUGAGAGAACUCGGGUGAAGGAACUAGGCAAAAUGGUGCCGUAACUUCGGGAGAAGGCACGCUGGCGCUAGGUGAAGUCCCUCGCGGAUGGAGCUGAAGCCAGUCGCAGAUACCAGCUGGCUGCAACUGUUUAUUAAAAACACAGCACUGUGCAAACACGAAAGUGGACGUAUACGGUGUGACGCCUGCCCGGUGCUGGAAGGUUAAUUGAUGGGGUUAUCCGUAAGGAGAAGCUCUUGAUCGAAGCCCCAGUAAACGGCGGCCGUAACUAUAACGGUCCUAAGGUAGCGAAAUUCCUUGUCGGGUAAGUUCCGACCUGCACGAAUGGCGUAAUGAUGGCCAGGCUGUCUCCACCCGAGACUCAGUGAAAUUGAACUCGCUGUGAAGAUGCAGUGUACCCGCGGCAAGACGGAAAGACCCCGUGAACCUUUACUAUAGCUUGACACUGAACAUUGAGCCUUGAUGUGUAGGAUAGGUGGGAGGCUUUGAAGUGUGGACGCCAGUCUGCAUGGAGCCAACCUUGAAAUACCACCCUUUAAUGUUUGAUGUUCUAACGUAGCCCCGUUAUCCGGGGUGCGGACAGUGUCUGGUGGGUAGUUUGACUGGGGCGGUCUCCUCCCAAAGAGUAACGGAGGAGCACGAAGGUUGGCUAAGCAUGGUCGGACAUCAUGCGGUUAGUGCAAAGGCAUAAGCCAGCUUGACUGCGAGAGUGACGGCUCGAGCAGGUACGAAAGUAGGUCUUAGUGAUCCGGUGGUUCUGAAUGGAAGGGCCAUCGCUCAACGGAUAAAAGGUACUCCGGGGAUAACAGGCUGAUACCGCCCAAGAGUUCAUAUCGACGGCGGUGUUUGGCACCUCGAUGUCGGCUCAUCACAUCCUGGGGCUGAAGUAGGUCCCAAGGGUACGGCUGUUCGCCGUUUAAAGUGGUACGCGAGCUGGGUUUAGAACGUCGUGAGACAGUUCGGUCCCUAUCUGCCGUGGGCGUUGGAAGAUUGAAAGGGGCUGCUCCUAGUACGAGAGGACCGGAGUGGACGCACCACUGGUGUUCGGGUUGUCAUGCCAAUGGCAUUGCCCGGUAGCUAAGUGCGGAAGAGAUAACCGCUGAAAGCAUCUAAGCGGGAAACUUGCCUUGAGAUGAGUCUUCCCUGACUCUUUAAGGGUCCUAAAGGAACGUUUAAGACUAAGACGUUGAUAGGUUGGGUGUGUAAGCGUAGCGAUACGUUGAGCUAACCAAUACUAAUGAACCGUGAGGCUUAACCUG